rnacentral:tRNA from 1 species
GGGGGUGUAGCUCAAUGGUAGAGAAUAUACUUAGCAUGUGUGAAGCCCUGGGUUCAGGCCCUAGCACGCCUG